rnacentral:rRNA from 2 species
CUACACAUGCAAGUCGAGCGGUAGAGAGAAGCUUGCUUCUCUUGAGAGCGGCGGACGGGUGAGUAAUGCCUAGGAAUCUGCCUGGUAGUGGGGGAUAACGUUCGGAAACGGACGCUAAUACCGCAUACGUCCUACGGGAGAAAGCAGGGGACCUUCGGGCCUUGCGCUAUCAGAUGAGCCUAGGUCGGAUUAGCUAGUUGGUGGGGUAAUGGCUCACCAAGGCGACGAUCCGUAACUGGUCUGAGAGGAUGAUCAGUCACACUGGAACUGAGACACGGUCCAGACUCCUACGGGAGGCAGCAGUGGGGAAUAUUGGACAAUGGGCGAAAGCCUGAUCCAGCCAUGCCGCGUGUGUGAAGAAGGUCUUCGGAUUGUAAAGCACUUUAAGUUGGGAGGAAGGGCAUUAACCUAAUACGUUAGUGUUUUGACGUUACCGACAGAAUAAGCACCGGCUAACUCUGUGCCAGCAGCCGCGGUAAUACAGAGGGUGCAAGCGUUAAUCGGAAUUACUGGGCGUAAAGCGCGCGUAGGUGGUUUGUUAAGUUGGAUGUGAAAUCCCCGGGCUCAACCUGGGAACUGCAUUCAAAACUGACUGACUAGAGUAUGGUAGAGGGUGGUGGAAUUUCCUGUGUAGCGGUGAAAUGCGUAGAUAUAGGAAGGAACACCAGUGGCGAA